UCUAAUCGCUAUGUAAGACAAUGAAAAUAAAAAUUAUGUUAAAAAAAACAGAGGAAAAAUGCAGCAAGAGGUUUAAGUAAACAUCUUUUUCCAAAAACACUUAUUAUUGAUACAUUGUCUAUAACAUAUGUUAUCUUCUCAGAGACUUGAGUAAUUACCGCAAAAGGUUGCUACAGUGGAAAAACAGUAUUUACAUCAGGUGAUAAAUGCUAACCAACUACUCCAGAGUUGUCAAGUUCCUUUAACGGAGAUAUUUUUGGUUAUUAAUUGAUGGCUGCGUAUUGAUUGGUUGAAUUGAGUUAUUCGGGCCCGUCGUUCUACGAGUGCUCUGCUAUUAGAGUGGAUGAGCACAGUCAUCGUGAAGAGUAUUGGCUUUGAAGAAUUAUGCUGUAAUUUGUUGGAGAGCGGCAAAAAGAAAAAAAAAUCGUGAUUGGACUAAUUAAGUGAAUUGGGAAAAUUAAACCCAUGAGAGGAUUAUGAUGUAACGGAUUUUAAAUGGAAAAUAGAUAAUUUUAGAUAUUGAAUUUGUUGCAUGCUGUAGAAGUGAUUGAUUUUCAAAAAAAUUAAGGAUCAGGGAAUUUGUUUUUAUUAUUAAUAAGAAUAUUCAGGCAUGGCAUGAUGACCAUAAAAAAAGUAUGCUGACAUGGUAUUGAAUUAAGAGUGAUUCCAAGCAUGACAACAUGCAAGCUAUUGAUGAAAAAUAUUCCAAUUAGUUUAAUCAAUUAAUCUGAAAGCAGAGCUUUAUUAGAGUAACUUUGAAAUCUUUCAGAAGAAAGGAAUUCUUGUGAAUAAGGAAGCUGUUUGACUACAUGUAUUGUCAUUGAAGACAAUAUUUUCUUUGAAGACUUACUUCAAAAAACUCGAAAACAUUCUGGAAAAAUAUUAUUCCGGAAAAAAAGAUCACAUAGUUGCUCACCUCCUAUUCUAUUGAUGUUAAUUUCGGACCUCAGCAUGACGGCGGUAGAAUGUCAGCACAAAGAUAAACCGCAGGUGUUGACGCCCACAAAAAUUGUUCCGGGUGAUGGAGAUUUUGAGGUUCCGGAGUUACCAAGGGUUCAGUGGCCUGUACCAAAAGGAGAAGCACAUGAAAUACAUCCACCAUCAAAAGAUCAGCCUGGUAUUGUCGUUCACAUCUGCGAAGACCCGGAGGGAUACCGAGAAAAAGGCGGUAUCCUACAAACAAGAUGUCCUGAAAGGAAAACGUGAACAGCUUAAUAUUUUGUGUAAACUGUAAGAAUUAAUUGAGUAAGUUGGGAAUUGCUGCAAUGACUUUUGUGACUUCUUAUCUUUCAGAAGAUUUGAAGGGAUUUAUGUUAUAUUGGCAUUUAACCUGGAUUUGUUUACAUGGUCUAUGCAUCUCAUCGGAAAAAUUUGUGUUAUUUCUUCUUUGAUGUUAACAGUUCCAUUUAUGUUAGAAAGUCUUUCAGCAGAAAAAAGUUAUAACUUACCUGUUAUAAAGGUUAUAAGCUAAAUGUGAAAAAGAGUUUCAUUUUGCAGUACAUGCGAAAAGGAAAGCUGUCGUAAACUGCGAUUAAUCAGCUUUUUGUUUGUUAAGUUUCUUCGCCGUAACAGUUACCUUCAGUUUCCAUAGUAACAUCAUCCCCAGAAUCUAUUCUUGGUUGCCAUAGAAACAUUGUCACGGCCAUGUAUUUCUGUCUCAGUCCAAAUGUGGUGAGACAGAUUUUAAAGUAAGAGGUUUGUUAUUUAAAAUAAGUAUUUAUCGAUUUUCAUGAAAUUAAAAAAGUCUUCAUAGCUGGCAAUUCCUGCAAUUAACUAAUUACUUUAACAAGUUUUUAGCUCACCUGAACCAAAUGUUCAGGUGAGCGGUUUUUUGUAGGCAGAUGGUCCAGCAUCAACAUUUUCACUUAAACAUUUUCUCCUAUGAAACUACUGGUCAGAAUUACACCAAAUUUGGUCUGUAGCAUCUUGUCAAGAUCCUCUCUCCAGUUUAUUCAAAUAUGGGCACUUUGGAGCUGCUGAAGCAGAAAAUGGAAAAAAGAACUUUAAAUGACUUCUUUUUAUGAACGGCUUGAAGAUCUUCAUCAGGCUCUGUGUGUAGCAUCAUUAUAACGUCCUCUAUCAAAUUUGUUCAAAUGGAAGCACUUGGCCCUUUUUUUUGGCCACUAGAGCAAAAAAUAGAUAUACCUUUAAACAACAUCUUCUCCCAAAGGGCUUUAUAGAUCUUUAUCAAACUUGAUCUGUAGCAUUCUUCUCAAGUCCUCUUCUGAGUUUUUUUUUUUUUUUUUUUUCAAAUGGGGGGCAUUUGGACCCUUAAGGGGGCUACUAGAGCUAAAAAUAAAUUUCUUGGAAAUUUGUUUUUCCCAUAAACUGCUUCGGAGGAUUUUAAUUAAACUUGGUCAGUAGCAUUCUUUUAAGGUCCCCUUUCAAAUUUGUUUAUAUGUGGACACUUGAUCUGUUUGAUGUCUUUUUUAUACUUAACCGAAAUGUUACCAUCCAUGAUUGUAUGUCAUACAUAUAUAAAACAAGGUCAAAUAGUCAAGGUCAGGUUAGUGUCUACAGCCACUAUGGUCCUCUUGUUAUCUUUACAAAAUUAACAGCUGUUCAAACAAGGGAAAGAAAUUUUUUGUGAUCCCCUUUGAAUGGUGUGAUCACUGGAAUACUUAAAUGCAUGAGUCAUGAUAUACAAUACCAAUUCCAUUGUUCAAAUGAUAUAUGCCACUGUGUUUACUGUAUGUUUAUUUAUACAUUGUAUGUUUGAAUGUAUGUGAGCCUGAUUUGUUAUUUCAUCAUUUUAUUGUCAGAAUACAUGUAUUGCACUGUUUUUACAUUGCUACUACUUUUUAGCUCACCUGAGCACAAAGUGCUCAGGGUGAGGUAUUGUGAUCGCUCACCGUCCGGCGUCCGUCCGUCCGUCCGUCCGUCCGUCCGUCCGUCUGUCCGUCCGUCCGUCCGUCGUCCGUCCACACUUUCCUUUAAACAACAUCUCCUCCUAAACCAACAGGCCAAUUUUGAUGAAACUUCACAGGGAUGUUCCUUGGAUGGCCCCCUUUCAAAAUUGUUCAAAGAAUUGAAUUCUAUGCAGAACACUGGUUGCCAUGGCAACCGAAAGGAAAAACUUUAAAAAUCUUCUUCUCAAAAACCAGAAGACCUAGAGCUUAGAUAUUUGGUGUGAAGCAUUGCCUAGUGGACCUCUACCAAGUUUGUUCAAAUCAUGACCCCGGGGUCAAAAUUGACCCCGCCCCAGGGGUCACUUGAUUUUACAUAAGAAAAUCUUAAAAAAUCUUCUUCUCAAAAACCAGAAGCCUUAGAGCUUAGAUAUUUGACAUGUAGCAUUGCCUAGUGGACCUCUACUAAAAUUGUUCAAAUCAUGACCCCGGGGUCAAAAUUGACUCUGCCCCAGGGGGCACUUGAUUUUACAUAGGAAAAUCUUCAAAAAAUUUCUAAAAAUAAACCAGAAGGCCUAAAGCUUAGAUAUUUCACAUGUAGCAUUGCCUAGUGGACCUCUACAAAAUUUGUUCAAAUCAUGGCCCCCGGGGUCAAAAUUGACCCCGCCCCAGGGGUCACUUGAUUUUACAUAAGAAAAUAUUUAAAAAAUCUUCUUCUCAAAAACCAGAAGCCCUAGAGCUUAGAUAUUUGACAUGUAGCAUUGCCUAGUUGACCUCUACUAAAUUUGUUCAAAUUAUGACCCGGGGGUCAAAAUUGACCCCGCCCUAGGGGUCACUUGACUUUACAACGGAAAAUCUUCAAAAGUUUUCUAAAAACAAACCAGAAGGCCUAGAGCUUAGAUAUUUCACAUGUAGCAUUACCUAGUGGACCUCUACAAAAUUUGUUCAUAUCAUGACCCCCUGGGUCAAAAUUGACCCCGCCCCAGAGGUCACUUGAUUUUACAUAGGAAAAUCUUCAAAAAUUUUCUAAAAAUAAACUAGAAGGCGUAGAGACUAGAUAUUUGACAUGUAGCAUUGCCUAGUGGACCUCUACAAAAUUUGUUCAAACCUUGUCCCCCGGGGUCAAAAUUGACUCCGCCCUAGGGGUCACUUGAUUUUACAUAGGAAAAAUCUUAAAAAAAAAAUUCUAAAAAUAAACCAGAAGGCCUAGAUCUUAGAUAUUUGACAUGUAGCAUUGCCUAUUAGACUUUUACAAAGUUUAUUCAAAUCAUGACCCCUGGGGUCAAAUUGACCCUGCCCCAUGGGGUUACUUGAUUGUACAUAGAAAAAUCUUCAAAAUUUUCUAAAAAUAAACCAGAAGAGCUUAGAUAUUUGACAUGUAGCAUUGCCUAGUGGACCUCUACAAAAAGUUUUCAAAUCUUGUUUUUAAAGUUACUUAAAGAAAAUUUCAACUAUAUUUUCUCAUAAUUCUUUUGAUUGAUUUCUAUUAUGAUCUUUUGACCUUGAAGACUUGUCCUUAAGUGCAAUGAUAACAGGUGAGCGAUAUAGGGCCAUCAUGGCCCUCUUGUCUUUAUUUUAUUAUUUUGUGUUGAAUGACGUUCAUAUCUUGCAUUUCACUUCGAAUUACUUCAAAAUGUCACUCUUCUUCAUUUUAUCAAUUUGAGGUACCUCAUAUUAUCACUUGGCUUAAUUGAAAAGUCACAUUCUAUUUCAUCACCUUUUAAUUUUGUUUCAAAAUCUCACUUUUUGUCAUAACAUCAAAAUCUCAUUUCUGAAUAACAUCAUUCUGUCAUUACAUCAAAAUCUCACUUUUCUUCAUUACAUCAAAAUCUCAUAUUUCUUCAUUACAUCUAAGUUUCAAAAUCUCACUUUUCUUCACUACAUAAAAAUCUCAUGUCUUAGUUUUCAUUAAAUUUCAUGAACAGACUCAAUCAAACCGAGUCUGCAAUUAAGUUGCUUGGUUGCAUUCUAUACGUCCAAAGGAUCUAUUCACAGGUUUCAUUCAUUACAUCAAAAUCUCGUAUCUUCAUUCCAUCAAAAUCUCUGACUUUUCUUCAUUACAUCAGAAUCUCACAUUUCUUCAUUACAUUAAAAUCUCACUCAAGCUAUGUUCUGAUAAUUAAGACUUAAUAAACUAGAUUUGGGUAAGGAAUGCUUUAAAUGUUACUUGAUUGUCUGUGCUAAUGGUUGAGGUUUAUAUAUCGAUGGAUUUAUAUGGCAGUAUAGUGUAGCCCAGUUUGAACUGAGGUACCUGAUCUUAGCUCAAACUUGCACUGUCAGGGAUGAGAGGAAAUGUGAGAUAUUAAGGUUUAUGUUGUUUUUGUUUACAUUUCCAUUGUACCAUGUAAUUAUAUAUGUUUAUUUUAUUUCAUGUUAUUUUUAUUGGUGUAAAAGAGGUUGGGAUUUUAUUGCUGUAUGAAUUUUCAUUGGAAAGUUGAUAUUUUACACGUUAUUGUGUGAAAUCAUUAACCUUUAGCCUGCUAAUGGCAAGUGGUUCUGCCUUUGCAACCAGUGCGGGCUGAUCAUGGUCUGCACUGUUCGCUAUUCAGUCAGUAAAUUUUCAGUGAACACCCCUUUUAACAAUAAGUGGUACUGCCCAAUUUGAACGAUGGAACAGUCCAUUAUAGAAAUUUAGCAGGGUAGAGGUUAAUAUUCAUUUGGGACUAAUUUUCGUGGAUUUCAUGGUUGCGUCAGUCCACAAAACUCAAUCCAAAUGAACAAGCUAAGUUCCCAUUCUUUUUUCGUGAUAGGUGCAAAACCAUGACUUCAUAUCCCAAGGAAAACAGCCAUUUUGGGCCAAACCACAAAAUGCUAUACCCACGAAAUUAAAUGAUUUUGCAGUAUGUAGAACAAAUGAAAAUUUCGCUUCGGCAAAUACUGUAUUUAUGAAGUAGAAAAAAAAUGCUUACUUUUCAAAACGUACAUAAGAAGUUACAGAUUUCAUACCUGUAUUUGUACAGAUUCUUGCAGUUCUAUAAAACAUCUGUUUUGUUAACAUUUAGAACAAUGCUGUGAAACUGGUAAUACUUAUUUCUGAUGUUUAAAGCAUCAUUCUGACAUUCAUUAACAUGUUUUGACAGUUUGUAGUUGAUGGAACUUCCCAACUACAUUGUAAUUUUCAGAUAAACCUGCAUGGAACACAUUCUUUCACAGUAUCAGAACGAUUCAAGGGACAGCUUUAUUUUGAAAUUUAAAAAUGAAAAUGUCAGUUUGAAACAUACCUGUUUCCAGUCCUGUUUCUUUUUGUAGAUUUAUGUACAUUUUCACAUGAAAUUUGGAAGGAUACUGUUGUAUGUAACGGCUACUUAUACAGUAAAGUGGAAAAAAAUAUCCCGAUGACUUAUUCAUAUAUAUAUGUGUAUAUAUCAUGAUCCAGCUCACUUUAAGAGAGGGAAUUUAUUACUUCGCUGGUCUCAAUCGGUAUAAAAGACUAAAAUAUCACUGCUGAUUUCUAAGAAAUGUUAACAGAGAUUAGUCAGUGAGUAUAUAUGCAAAUAUUGAACCAGUUCUGAUGAGUAGUGCAGUUAGGGCAUAUAUAUUUAACCAGCAUUGAAACCAGCUCUUAUGAGUUGGUGGAUUUGUUGUGGAAUAUGCAUGCUGUCAUUUUACCGUAAUUGGUCUGGUGUAUUUUAGUGGUAGUUUUUUUCCUGUGAAUUUUCUUUAUCUAUAUAAAGGAAAGGUUGUUUGAAUAUUGGAAAUAUUGCAAUUUAUGAGUCCAUUUUUGUGCCCCACCCCCAUGAGUGGUGGGGGCAUAUAGAUUUGCUCUUGUACGUCCGUACGAAGUUCGUGACACGCCUACCUCAAAAAGUAUUUGAUAUAAAUUAAUAAAACCUUGCAUGAGUCUUUAUCAUGAUAUGAACUUGUGCACCUUCUAUUUGUCGUCUUGCUCCGCCACCUAAUUUUAGAGUUAUGGCCCCUGAAAUAGUCAAAAAUGCACAUUUUCACCUUGUGACAUGCUUAGCUCAAAAAGUAUUUGAUAUAGAUCCAUGAAACCUUGCAUGAGUCUUUAUCAUGAUAUGAACUUGCACACCUCUUAUUUUUCAUCUGGGGACGCCUACUAUUUCUAGAGUUAUGGCCCCAGAAAUAGUCAAAAAUGCACAUUUUCACCUUGUGACAUGCCUAGCUCAAAAAGUAUUUGAUAUAAAUUAAUGAAACCUUGCAUGAGUCUUUAUCAUGGUAUGAACUUGCGCACCUCCUAUUUUUCGUCUGGCUCCGCCCCCUGUUUUUAGAGUUAUGGCCCCUGAAAUAGUCAAAAAUGCACAUUUUCACCUUGUGACACGCCUAGCUCCAAAAGUAUUUGAUAUAGAUUCAUGAAACCUUGCAUGAGUCUUAAUCAUGAUAUGAACUUGCGCUCUUCCUAUAUUUCAUCUGGGUCCGCCCCCUAUUUUUAGGGUUAUGGCCCCUGAAAUAUUCAAAAAUGCACAUUUUCACUUUGUGACACCCCUAGCUCAAUAGGUAUUUGAUAUAAAUUGAUGAAACCUUGCAUGAAUCUUUAUCAUGAUAUGAACUUGUGAACCUCCUAUUUUUCAUUGGGUCCGCCCCCUAUUUCCAGAGUUAUGGCCCCUGAAAUAGUAAAAAAAUGCACAUUUUCACCUAAUUAUGUGCCUCACUCAAAAAGUAUUUCAUGUAAAUUCAUGAAACCUUGCUGGAGUCUUUAUCAUAAUGUGACCUUGCACACUUGGCAUUCUUCUUGAGAAUUUUAGCGUUUAUUACAGAGUUAUGGCCCUUGAAAUAGCCAAAAUAGUGGAUUUUUUGUUUGUGAUGCUCAUAGCUCAAAAAGUAUAUGGUAUAGAAUAACGAAUCCAUUUCAUAUUUUUUUGAGGCUAUACCCCAUUAAGACUGCAAACAUUUGAACGAUUUCCCCUUAUUUGUGACAAAUGUACCAGUGGGGGCACACCCUGUGUCCUACAGACACAUUCUAGUUGUAAGUUACAUUCCAUGAUUAUACAGAAUAAAAUGCACUGUUAUUUUUUUUUUUCAAAUAAAAAUGGAAAAUUAUAGAAUCUUUAUUUUGAUAGAAGAAAAGGCUGUAACAUUUCGAAGUCCAAUGGUAAACUUUUGUUUUUGGUAUUUUGAUGACGUAAGUUUGUCAGUGAAGAAGAGUUUUUAACUAUUUUAUGCUUAGGUACAAGUAGAAGUAUGGUAUACAGUUAAACACUGCUCACGUGAGCAUCGAUGGCCUAAGACUUCGUUUUUUUUAUAUUUGGAUUUGUCAAAACCUUGGAUAACUUUAGCAUUUGGCUAAUCCCCAUGCAAUUUAGGUGUUUUGGGUGUUUUGCUGUAUUUGCAUACCUCCAGACAGAAUGAUGUAUGACAAUAACAAAAUUUUUAAAAACAUAAAGCAGUGUCUACAAAAAAACCCAAAACCAUAGGUCAGUUUUAAUUUAGUUUAAAUUCCACUUUUUUAAGCCAGUGCUUCAGGGUAGUGUGAGGGCUGUUGCACAUUUAAUUACCUCUCAUGAACGGACUUGGCCAAACCAAGUCUGUUAUUGCUUUACUUUGUUGCAUGAGGCUUUUAUAUAGAGUUUGUUAAUGCGUAUGAUUUAAUCAGCAAAAUUCACUCAUUUUUAAACACCAAAUUUUACUGUGUGACUGGCACAGUAGACAGAUUUUCUGUAUAUGUUGUAGACCAAACAAUGAUUUCUAUAAACAGAUACCCCCUUAGAAACUUCAGACUCACUUUGUUGAAAUUCAUUCAUGAUUACCAACAUUUUUUUUUCUUUAAUAUGAAACCUGGAGGCAUGCCCCUUAAAAAAUAAUAUUAAUAAAAAAAGUUGUUAUUGUUAUAUCUUUUAAAGGUCAGUCCUUCCUUGGCCAGUUUUGCAGAAAAAGGACCUGUUAGCGAGUCACUGUGAAAACACAUGAUUUUCAAUAACUUUAUCAAAUACAGUGAAAUUGCAACCUUAGUGGCAUUUGUAUCGCAUGGCAUUAAAGUUACAUAUCAUGAGAAAUAAAAAAAGCUCUGGAACAGGGCAUUAGUGAAAAACUGUUGUUUGGACCGAGCAAUACAUUUUUUUUUCAUGUGGUGUGCAUGCUUUUUGAAAAAAAAGAAGGAAAGGCAUUAAUUACCUUUAUAUGGCCUAUAUGUAUUAACUGUUCUCAUAUUGUGACAGUAUAAAAUUAGAACGCUGCUUCAUUAACUUUGUAAAAAUUCUCUUUUCCAAAUUCAACUCUUAAAUUUAUAAAAGCCCAGCCCUUUCAUUAAUGCGUUGUGAGAUGUGUAAUAUUUAAUUGAAUUAUUUAUGGGGAAAUAAUACAGCUCCAGGUCUAUGAAACUGUGUACAUGUACCCGGUAAGCAUAAAAAUACGCGAUCAAGCCUGUAUAGACCAUACAGUGAAGAUGAAAUUUGGUUGGAGGUUUUGUCUUCAAAAAGGGUAUACCUCCAGACACAUAACACCAGCUUAAGGUUGCGGACACAUAAUGACAGUCAACAAUUUCCAUGUGAUUAUGUAUACUUUGCGGCUGUAACAGAAAAUCAUUUUUAGAAUAACCGGAGAAUGCGGAAAUCUCGCUUAAAGAUUAUGUAAACGAAUAAAUGAAUGGAAAUUGCCGAUCAUCAUUUCAGGUUCACUUCCUUAAGGUGUUUUUGUUUCGAGCUCGAGCCUCUGUCUAGUCAUAUCAUGAAAACGGGAUAAUGUCAUUUUAAAUUUUGCAUUGUUCGUAAUUAUGUUAAUGUUUACUUUUCUUUCUGUCUGAUUAUGAAAAUGUGUUUUGUCAUGUGUUGACAAUUUUAAACUCUUGUUUGUAUUUAGUACGAUUAUUAAAUAGUUGAAUAAAAAUAUGUAAAGUUGUA